rnacentral:lncRNA from 1 species
GCAUGUAUACUGCCCAUUUUCGGUCUUUCUGUACACCUGUUUUCAAUUUUCAGCUCGUAUAAAAUUGUUGUUGACUCGAUGGAGAAGAUGUUGGGUUUCUUCCCAACCCGUGAUGCAAGGAGAGUAACGAAGGGAGUCCAAUGGACUCGAACCGAGAGGGUUCAUGCAAGAAAAGAAGGAUAAAGAUUAACUAGAGAUAACUUCAAGAGGCAACCAUAUUUUAGUUAGAAUUAACCACGAUAAGAAUCAUUCUUACCCCUUGUAGAUUAUCAUAAAUAAUAGGUAGAAUGAACUCCCUUUGAAAUAAUAUUAGUUCAUAUGGGCGUAAUGUUAAAUCAUCUAAUAGGUUCAAUAGACAUAACUAAAACAAUCUAGACAUUCAACUCAAUUGUAGACAAUCAAAAUAAUAUCACAUGCGUAUGAAAUAAAUAUUAUGUAGAGUACAAAUCAUUCUUAACCAAUAUGUUGUUACAUACAAUUUACAACAAGGCUUUAGACUUUAAUAUUACAUGUAUCAGGUAUUGUAACCAGUGAAGGCAAUAUUAAACAUAUAAAGAAGAAUGAAGGCUGGCAGCCCUCUCCUAGGUAACAUGGAAAUUAUUUGGUCCUCUUGAAUGCCCAGAAAAGCCAUUAGAAGACACAAUACAAAAUUUAUAGGCCACACUUAAUAUAUUACAAGAAAACAAUGUGUUAUAGACCAUAAACCAUCAAGGAAGAAAAGAGACUAUAAUUGUGGUCGUGUUCACGCUAUCAAGAUGUAUUGCAAUGUAUUAUUCGAACUUAAAAAUCACACCUUCCAGCCCGAUGAUUCCAAGAUAAUAACACGAGCAUUAUGAAAAAGAUAUAACUUAUCCCAUUUAAGCUAAGCAAGAGGAUAAUUUAAGAAGCAAAAUAAGAAGAGGAUGAACACCUUAUGCAAGUUUAGUCCUUUGCAAGACUCAUGCUAAAUCAACAGAAGAUGUUAAUUGGUAUUCAAUUAUUCAUUCAGCAAAUUAAGGACUUAAACCGGAUAUAUGAUGAGUAGAGAAAUUUAAUGGAAGGCUACAAACUCAAAAGGGGAAUAUUGUAGAUCAAAGUCGGGAGCAGAGAUCAAAUACAUUAAUCACAUGAGAUUAGGCUAAUAUUCAAUACUUCCUCUUCAAGAAUAGUAGGACAAACAUAGGGCCAAAAAUAAGAUCUUCUUGAGUUAGUCAAUACUUAAGCUAACAGAGAUAAAUUAAAUAGACAAGGAUUGACUACAUAAUUUCAAAUCACCUAGCAAAUUAACUAAAAAACAAUACAAACUGAUUCAAAUUAAGAUGAACUAAAAAAAACUAAACAAACUAUAAUAUUAAACGAGCAUAAUACCAUAAAUGAAUCAAAGCAUCAUAUACACAAAGAACAAAACUACAGAAUAUUACCUCUUCCGGAGCAGCGACCGAAGACAACUAGAUUGAGAGGACAGAGGUUCUUCCACCACAAAAGCCAAGUAUGAAUAGCAAACCAAGAGAAUCUGAGUGGCGACCUUCUCGGAAACUUAGAACAAGAGAGCUAAACAUAAAAUUUUAAGUGUAAAGUCACUAUUGCCAAAGAACUCAAACUAGAAAAAAAACUUCUUUUUUUUUUGGCGCCCCCCCUUUAAACACAUAGAGAAAACGAUCUUAAAUAGAUGAAGAAUAGGGUUGAUUUUUUUUUA